UUUUUUAACCAAUUCUGCCACUCUGUGUCUUUUGAUUGGAUAACUUAGUCCAUUUACUUCUAAAGUAAUUAUUGAUAAAUAUGUACUUACUGCUAAUUUUGUUAAUUGUUUUCUGACUGUUUUGUCUUUCUUAGUUCAUUUCUUUCUCUAGCUCUCUUCCUUUGUGCUUUGAUAAUUUUCUAAAGUAAUACACUUAAAUUCCUUUCUCUUUACCCUUUGUGUAUCCACUAUAGUUUUUACUCUGUGGCCACCAUGAAGCUUACAUAUAACAACUUUUAGCAGUGUUUUAAGUUUAUAAAAUCUUCAGUUUGAAUGCAUUCCAAAGCUCUACAUUUUCACUCCCCUCCCCGACAUUUUACAUUUUUGAUGUGCAUUUUACAUAUUUUUAUCUUGUGUAUCCCUUAAUUAUUGUAGUUUUAGUUAUUUUUUAUUACUUUUAACUUUCAUACCAGCUUUAUAAGUGAUUAAUCCAUCCCUUUACAACAUUGGGUUAUUCUGAAUUUACUGUAUAUUUUACUUUACCAGUGAGAUUUGUACUUUCAUGUUUUCUUGUUACUGAUUACAGCAUCCUUUUUUAUAAGGCUGGUUUAGUGCUGAUGAACUCCUUUAGAUUUUGCUUGUCAGGAAAACUUUUUCUCUCCUUCAAUUCUGAAUGACAACUUUGCUGGGAAGAGUAUUGGUUGGAAGUUUUUUCUUUCGGCACUUUGCAGGUCAGAAGGGAGUGGCAAUGAUACAUUCAAAGUUUCUGCUGAAAAUCUACUGAUAGUCUUAUGGGGGAUCCCUUGUAUAUAAAAAGUUAUUUUUCUCUUGCUAUAGGUUCAGUUUCUCCUUUAAUGUUUGACAUUUUAAUUGUAAUGUGUCUUUGGUAUGGGUGUCUUUCAGUUUUUAUUUGGAAUUCUCUAGGCUUCCUGGAUCUGGAUGUCUGUUUCCUCCCCCAGGUUAGUGAAGGUUUAGAGAUUAUUUCUUCAAAUAAUCUCUUUGUCCCUCUCUCUCUUCUCCUUCUGGGACUUGUAUAAUGCAAAUGUUGGUCUCUGUGAUGUCCCAGAAAGCCUUUCAGCUAUCUUUACUAUUUUUCCCAUUUUUCUUAUUACUACUUUGAUUGGGUGAGUCCCAUUGCUCUGUCUUUGAGUUCACUGAUCCUUUCUUCUGCUUCAUCUAGUCUGCUGUUGAAUCCCUCUAAUGUAUUUUUCAGUUCAGUUAUCGUAUUCUUGAGCUCUGUGACUUCUAUUUGUUACUUUCUUGUAUUUUCCCUUUUUGUUGAAGUUCUGUGUUCAUCCAUUCCUCUCCUGAGUUUGGUGAGCAUUGUUACGACUUAUUUUGAACUCUUCAUCAGGUAAGUCAUUUAUGUCAUUAAGAUUUUUUCCUGAGGUUUUAUCUUAUUCUUUCAUUUGGAACAUAUUCCUAUGGUAAUUUUCCUUGAGUCUGUGUUGGUUUUUAUGCGCUAGAUAAAACUACCACCUCUCCCAGUUUGAAGGAAUGGCCUCGUGUAGAUGAACCUUACGGUUCCACCCUGCCCUAGCUCUUAGUUGUCUCUCCAACUUUGUGACUGUCCAGCCUAUUUUUAGUGGUUCACAGUAGCUGCUUUCUGGGUGUGCCAAGACCUGUCAAUGUCCCAAGAGGGAGGAUCUCAUUGCCUAGAUUCAGGCUGAAUGGAAGCCAGUCCCUCAGGUAGCAGCUUUUAAAAUAUGCAAAUAUAUAUAGUCUUGCAGGACUGGAAGCAUCAGUCCUGCUGGCUGCCAGAGCCAGGCAAUUGAGAAGUAUCCCCUGGGUAGCAGUUACAAAAAUUGGUCCUCUAUGUGAGGAUACAAACUCCUUUCUAGGAAAUUCUGGUGGCCUAGAAUGAGGUGGAGGGACAGCACAAAGACAGUGAGCACCAGCUUAAGAUCCCUAAGGGUACAUCUGUAGGCCCCUAGAUGUGUGCCAAGCCUGAAGCCUGUCCCUCAAGACCAAAGCUCUUGGUCUUGACAGGACAAGCAAAUAGGCCUCUUACACAGAAAGACUGGGGAUAUGUUUUAGUCUGCUGUCUGUACAGUACUCUGUGGAUGGUAGCCAGCUAAGAACUACAUCUCUGAUUGCUACAGUUCUGUGAGACCCAGUAAUGCAACCAUGCUGGCCAACAGAGCCUGGUGAUCAAGCAGCAUCACCUGGGCGGCAGCCACAAAAACUGGGGCACGAGACACCUGUAAAGUCUCCCCUCUGGGAGAUACUGGCACUCUAAAUAGUUGCAGAGAGCGUGUGCAAACAGUGCUCACCCUCUGAAGUCUCUGGAAAGGAUCACAGUUGGCCUUAGAUGUGUAUUUAAUCAGAAGCCUGCCCCUCCCUCAGGCUGCGGCUAUGCAGGUAAGCUAUGAGUUUCUUUUAAGAGACUGUGCUCCUUGAACUGUUCCAUCUUGCAGGGCCCUGGGGGAGGUAGCCAGAUAGAACUUUAUUCACUGGUUACAGUUCUUUGGGACUCAUGAGCGUAAGCCCACUGGUUCCUAGAGUCAGUUUGAUCUAGAGGUGUCUCCCUGCAGGAGCUGCAAAAAUUGAGGUGGGUGGGCAGUGGAGGGUUCAAGCUCCUUUCUGGGAUAUACCAGCUAGUUGGAGCAGGGCAGAGAAGGGUGCAAAGAUGGCACCAUCCAUCCUGAAAAGUAUUUCAGAAGAUCCCUGCAUGCGUCUAUGGAUAGGGUAAGUCAUUAAGGUUCUUUCACGGAAAGUCUAGGUGCUUUUCAGUCAGCUGCCGUUGUACUGGGCUUUGGGGUGGGCAGAUAAGUAUGAGCUCACAAGCCCUUUAAGAACAGUUUCUCAGUUUGCUAUAGCUGUAUGGGUCUUCAUGGACACAAGCUCCAUUGGCUUUCAAAGCCAGGUGUUUUGGGGCUCAUUUCUUGGAGGGUCUUAAAGGCUGUGGUGCUGAUAAUGGGGUUCAAACUUUUUGCUCCUCAAGGAGAAGCUGCUCCUCAAGGAGAAGCUCUGGGUUUUGAGUUCCCUCUUGUUGGUGGGUUGCUCUAUUAGGUGUGGAAUUUAUGGUGAGACUGUCCCAGCUUCUUGUACCCUCUUAAAUGUGGGCUUUCUCUCAUUUGCUAGAUGAGUAGGAGUCACUCAGCUAAUCUGGGUUUUCUUUUUUUCCCUAGAGGAAGUUGUUCCAUAUACAGCUGUAGAUCUGAUGUCUGUGGGACAAGGUUGCUGAGUAUUCUCUGAGCUUUGAUUUUCUAAUCUGAAAAAUGGAACUGCCUGGGAAGACAGAAACAGUGCACUCAUACAUAGGCCUUGGCAUCAUACGAAGCGUAAGCUUACUAUACUUCGAAAGCAUUUGAGGCACCGGAAUGGUCUAGAGAUAGAUUUUCUUUUCAGUGAGGAUUACAAGGAACACUCAUCAGGGAUUUUUCCCAUCUACAAAGAUGAUCCGAAGCCUGACCCAACAGGAUGCAAACUCACUCAGAAUCUCAGAGGACAGCACUAAGCAAGCUUUGAAGCUACAUCAAAAGGAAAGGAAGCAGAGCUGACUUCACUAAGGCUACUUCAUCUCCAAUGAGCAAAUGAGGCACUUGUUCUUCACCAGAAGAGAUGGGGAUCUGGUUUAGGGAAAUCUGUCUUUUGAUGUGCCGUGGUCUCCUGGGUAAUGUAUAAUUUGGUACUGCACAGAAAGUUAAUCAGGGAAGUCUGGAAAAGCUUUGGUUCCACCAGUCUUGCCUCAGAACAUGUAAAUAAUUACAACAAUAUUGAUGCUGGGUUUUUCUAUUACUAGCGUGAAAAUGACAAGUCUUUACUGGUGUGAAUGGGAAGAAAACAAUGCUAUUCCAUAACAGAUGGGUGAAUUUGGGGGAGCAGGCAGAAGCUCAAACCCUGAGUCAUUCCAUAAAAUAAACUGGAGGUUAAAUAAUAGGUAGUAUUUACAGCCUGUGUCAGGAAAAAUUUCAAGGAGGAGAAAAUCAACUAUCAGGAAAGCUAAAGAAUUUUAAAAAUCUAAUAAUUGGAAUAUAUACACAACACACAUUAUUGCACUUUCAAUUCUAAUAAGGCAACAACAGUAUUAAGCUCCUUCACUGGGUGUAAAAUACUUCCACAUACAGUGUUUAAUUGUUUCAGAUAUUCUGUCAUCUCCCUAACUUGUCAGCCUCAUCUCUUCUGAAACGCAAGGUCCCUGUCCCUACUCUUCCAACACUUGGGUCUAUUUUUACGUACUCUAAGCAGGACUUCUGUUUCCUUUCUUCCUGCUGUUGCUACUGAGAAAACAAAUAUUUUAAGAUAUGAUGCUUACCUGAGUGUCAGGGGGUGGACCUGCAGCCUGGGUGGUUGGAGCUGGGGUUUGGGAAACUACUUCAGAGACGGCAGCUGAAAGUUUAGCAUCUUCAAACUGCUUUUAUGAAAAAAUAAUAAAAAGGUUCUGAUCAGUAAUACGUUGUAUACAAGUUGUGCCACAGCGCUGCCACUUAAAUACAACUCUCACUAGAGCUUAAUGCUGCUACUCUCUCGAUCCAGACGGAAGCACAGCAACAUAGCGUCUUAAGCGCCAUUUUUAUUCCACUUCCUACUCCACAGCGGUAUUUUACACAAUCUCCUAUUCACAUUAUUCUAAAAGGGGUUCAGAAAGCUAGUGCCUUUGAGUUUCAUGGUUUGCUCACACACUUCUGGUCGUACAUUUAGGUGGUUUGCUUUCUUUGUAAUUUGUUGCCUUAAGUUCUAGAAGUGGCGCUUUUUACAGUCCAGCUCUACUCUGCCAGCUGCCCUCCCCAAAGCUGCUAGAAAGUCAUUCCACCAAAAGCAAUAAAUGGGCACGCCCGUUUCCCACAGCCCUGCUUGCCUGAAUUAGGUAUUUAUCGCCUAUUUUUAACUUGGAUAAUGUACUGGGUAUAAAGUGGUGUGCUCCUGUUGCUUUAAUACUUGCUAUCUGGUGUGAGGUUUCAGUUUUAUCAUUUUUUCUUAAUGUUAAAUAGUAUAUUUCAGAAUCUUUCUGAAAUAAUGACUCCUUUUCUCAUUGUAAAGAUUUAAUCUGUCAUUUAUGUUCAUUUCUGGAUUUUUUUUCCCCACUGACCUGUGGCUUUGCUUUCUGAAUCAGAACUAUAUUUUUAUCAUUACUGUAUAAUAAAUUCUGGUGUUUAGUUGGGUUAAUCUUUUUAAUGCUUUUCAGUAUUUUUUAAAAUAUUUUUAUGCACUUAUUUUUCAAAUAUAUUGGACAACUCAAUUUUAAAUUCUCUUUUCAUAGGUGUACUUAAUAAGAGUGUGUGCUCACUGGUUCAAUUAGUUACACUACUGAUAACAUCCACUGUGGUGGACGGGUAUGUCAUGAUAGAGCACAUUUUUAAUGGCUGUGAUGAGUUGAGGGCCAUUAAUUUUGUGACUGUUUCCUCAACUCCCAUGUCAGAUUUUAAGUUACAAGUUUCUGCUACCCUAAAAGUAAAGAAAUAAAAUCAGAGGACUUACAAGAGAUGAAGUGUUUGGGGGACCGGUGAAGUCCUUAGACAAAGCAUCAAGGAGAAAGUCUUCACUCAAGGGCUGUAAGAACCAGGAAAUAUGUCAACAAACAACACCUCAUUUGUCUCCCCUUCAAAAUGAUGUCACUGUUUAUAUGCUCAUCAGCUCAUUAAACAGAAAGCUAUGCCUUCCUGCAUUCGCAGUCAGGGCCAAAGGAGAAAGAGACACUCAGAGAAAACUGGCUUGCUUACUGGAAGCGGUUCCUUGGGCUCUUUUGGCAGGAGUGGUUUUCCAUCUUUAUCCUAUGCGGGGGGGAGAAAAGCACGGCAGAGUCAUUUUGCAUGUAUCCUAAGUAUGCAGCCUUGUAAACAUUCUCAGAGGUUGACAGGUGAUACCUGAUGAUGUACACUGUAAAUUAAGAUUCACCAUUUCAGGAAACAGAUUCUCUCACCAGGAAAUAUGCUCUGAUUAACUCAUGUCAACAAACAGUUCGCAUACCUCAGGCAUUCCCUAGGCACAGGGGCUACAAAUGGAUCGAGGGUGGCUUGCUAACCUCAGAAGCCCGGGGACCAGGGUGGAGGGGGGGGAGAAUCACAUGAACAGCUAAUGUAGCGUUGGACACGUGGGGCUGUGACAGUGGACACAGGACACCGAGGGGGCACAAGGAUGUGCCCCUCCCCUGACGGAGUGGGGUGGGCUUUGCACAGGUUGUCUGGAAAAGCUGGUUAACAUUAUAGGCGGCACAUCCAAGCCCUGAGGUGAGCACUGGGAAUCCCCCAGAAAGCAGGCUAGACAAAGUCCUACCCUCAGGGAGCUCACCCGGUGGGCGGGAUGUCAAACCUUAGGACUCAGGUGAUGCCAAGCUUCAAAUGACUCUAAGUGCCACGUCUAAGUAACAGGAUAAAAUCCAUAAAGCCUUUGGGACUCUUUAGUAAAGAAAAUGUAUAAAUACAUGGUCAAUCCCAUUCACACACACAUAUAAAAGUAAAUAA